rnacentral:rRNA from 1 species
UACGGAGGGUGCAAGCGUUAUCCGGAUUCACUGGGUUUAAAGGGAGCGCAGGCGGGCUGGUAAGUCAGUGGUGAAAUACCUGAGCUUAACUUGGAAACUGCCAUUGAUACUAUUGAUCUUGAAUUUUGUUGAGGUAGGCGGAAUAAGUCAUGUAGCGGUGAAAUGCAUAGAUAUGACUUAGAACACCAAUUGCGAAGGCAGCUUGCUAAACAAAUAUUGACGCUGAGGCACGAAAGCGUGGGGAUCAAACAGG